rnacentral:lncRNA from 1 species
CCGUCGCCGCUGGAAGGAGAAGAGAAAGACAGCGGGGCUGCCGCUGCUGUUGUGGUGAAGCUGUCGAGGCUGGUGGCGCGCCGGUGGUGUUUGCUCCUGUUGUUGGCAGCGGUGGUUGGCCUUGUUGCUGAGUGCUGCUGCCGCUGCUCUUGGUGUAGGAGAUGGAGCAGCUGCUGGGUCAGUUGAGAGAGACCCGGCUAUGGGAGAAGGAAGGGAAAGGAGCGCCGGCUGGAAUGGGACAGCGGCUGUGCAAGGGGGAAGAAAAUUGAUGAAGAAGGAGAUGAAGUUGUGGGUCUCUUCGGGUUGGUCUUUUGGCCGAAGGAGAUGAUGAAGAAGAUGGGCUAAAAUGGAUGAAGGGUGAAGACGAUCGGGAGGAAAAGUUGUGGUCGAGAGGGAGAAGGAAAGGCUGAAAUCAAUGAAUCGGGUGUUGUAUGCGGGCGGCUGAAGAGGAAAAAUCUGCAAAAACCAAAGGAGGGAGGGGGGCGGCGGCUCUCCUUGAAAAAAAAGAUGGGUUUAGGGUUAGGUUUUUUUUGUAUUUUUGAAAGCGAGCAAAUAUCAACAUCGACUCAAUGCGGGAAAUCAAUGAUUUUAAAAAUAACGCGUGAAAAGUUGAACGCGUUCCAAAUAUCUUUGAAAAUUUAAAUUUUUUUGAGACGAUGCUAAAAAUGCUAAAAAACGAUGCA